UCAUGACCGCACUGCUCUGUGAACGUGCUGCAGCUGUGGUCUGGAGGCAGGUGUUUUGUCUCCAUAGCCCUUUGUCUCCUCUGCUGAGCUGUGUCCAUGGGAAGGGUGACUGUGGCCAUAAGUCUGGUGAUGGAGAUGCCUGGAUGGUGACCAGUUUAUUUCACACAGGGCAAACAUCUGUCAUCUUAGACCUGAGCCUGCAUUUGAGCCAUUGACCUAGGAGUGAGAAACUAUGAAUCAGAACACCAGUCCUUUCAGGGCUUCUCUUCUGAACAUUAUGAACCAGAAGUCUUGUGGCCUGUGAAAACAGCCACAUAUCAAAACAGCACAGUCUGUUCAUAAGAACAGCCAUACGGGGCUGAUCAAUGGUCCAUCUAGCCCAGGACUGUGUCUUCCAACAGUGGCCAAUGCCAGGAGCUUAAGACAAGUGAUCCAUCCUCUGUUGUCCAGUCCCAUCUUCUUACCGUUGGAGGCUUAGGGACACCCGGAGUCUGGGGUUGCAUCCCUGACCAUCUUGGCUAAUAGCCUUUGAUGGACCUCUCCUCCAUGAAUUUAUCAAGUGAUACUGUUCAGAAAUAGGGGUAAAUGAGGUCAGAUUCCCAGACAGCAUUUUCAGGGGAGCAUCUCUGGGCAUUGGAAAUCUCUACAUGACUCUUUUCACUUACUUCCCUGCUAGGCAGAGGGUGUGCUGGUCUGUGGCUAGAGCUCCCCACGUGUGGUAGAUCCAGUUUGCUAUUUGCUGCUCACCUCCCCACAUGUGUGAAUGUUUUGUGGAUCGUGCUGAGGGUAUCACUCGGCUGCUCAGGGCUGCUGAACCUUUAAGGAAAUGUUUGUUUAUGCAGUGCUGCCAGAUUUCCUAUGCUUCUUGGCACAAGGUCACACAUCUCCUUGUCUGUCUUUAUUAAUGCCCAUUUCUGUUUAUCGAUGCAUAGUGACAUAGAGCUUUCUUUGUGGGUUUUACAUUCCACUGAGAUUAUAUGUAGAUUCUGAGCUCCUACCACCAAUAAUGCUACAAAAAUAUCUAUUGCUUUCAGGCAGCUGCUGCUCCUGCUAAGGAAUCCAUCAAUGCGAGGCUGCUGGUUUUAAAGGCCAUCCAUCCCCUUGAACGUGGCGAUUCUGGCACCAGCUCUGCUAACCUCACCGUUGAUCUGGGCACAUUUUGUUUUGGACAUAGGAACUGUUGUCCCUGUCUCCUCUUUAAAGCGAAGUGCUGCAGGGGAAGCCUGAGGUGUCUAAUCAGAAGUGGGGAAAAGAGUCAAGGUGCCUGCGCUUUCUCCAUCUCCCUUUCACACCAGCCCACAGAACCGGCUCUGUGCUGGGGUGUGGACACUCCCCACCCUUAGAACUCCAGGAGGCUCCUGCUGGGGUGGUGCCGCUUCACAUCACCCCCAACAUGGAGCUGCGAGCAGAUAACCAGGACCGAACCCUGGCUAUUUAAACCCAGUAUUUUUUUAAGUGCACAGGGCUCAGAUUGUUAGUGAUGUCUCCUCUGUGUCUCUUUCCGUCAGUAGCCAGUUAUCCAAACGCGGCUGCAUUUCGAUGCUCUCUUAUGAGCGUGAGGCACAUGCACAAACACAAAGGGAAAAACAACGCGGGCCACUACUGAUCUCCAUUGAAAGACAUUUACAUUGAACGGAGAUACAUCACUAAUCUUCAGAGCAUCCUGACAGGCUGAGGCCGUAACAUACACUGAUGUCCGCCCCUCCCAGCAUCAGCUCGUCUGUGACUGUGGACUUCAAUGGGAGAUGGAUCAGACCCUAAUUCAUCUCAGUUGCUGCGUUUGAGCAUCAUGUGGCAAUGCCAACGUUCCAGUACUGCUUUGAAGGCAAGGUACCUGUACACAGGACAGUGCUGGAAAGUCACUUGGCCCAAUACAACAGGUACGCUUGGUAAACAGCAAAGUGAUCCAAACCUACCCAACAGCUUCCAUGUCACAUAUUAUUAGAGUAAAGACAAACAGGGUUAAUAUGUUACCUAAAGAAACUGGGCUGAUGGGGAUGAAUCCAGUUGUCUUCAACGGUUCAACACCAGAGCUGAAUUUGGCACACAGGGCUUAACAAUCCAUUUAGACCCUGAUUCAGCAGAGUACUUAAGCAUUUAAGUAUUAUGGACUCACUGACCUGUUUGUGUUGUUUUAUAGCAUCUGUCUGAUACACCUCUACCCUGAUAUAACACUGUCCUCGGGAGGCAAAAAAAUCUUACUGCGUUAUAGGUGAA